AUAGUUCCUUCUCAUGAAUUUGUUACAUUCUUAUAAGGGAAGUCAACAUAGAAUAUUUACAAAAUGAAUACAAAGUAAUUUCCCUGGGUUGAGAAGGGGUUGUUGUUUUUCUUCUUUGAUGGAAUAGCCUCAUUGGGAGAUGUCUUGACUUGAGUGUGAAUUGGAUUUAAGCAAGGCAGAGUUGCACAAAGCCAUAAGCCUCACUCUCUCUUCCAGAGUCCAGGAUGAUCUUGGCAUCUUCAAUGUGUCACCAAACUCUAAGCGCUUCAUAGUGCCUUCCAUCAUGGCCGCUGGAAGGAAUUGUUUAUAUCUGCUCAUUCUGCCAGGGAAGUCUUCAGAUGGUUGUGGAAGACAUACCCCUAACUCACUGAUGGUAUGAUGCCUCCAGGUUUCCCUCAACCUGGGUUAGCUUGACUGCUGAGAAAGUUAUGACAAGGUGUGGCCACUGUACAUGCUACAGCUUCUUGGAGCCACAGAUGUCAAUGAGAUCUGAAAUGGAUUAUUUCAAACCGAGGACAACCCUGAAAAUAUGAUUUGGGGAUUCUCCAAACAUAAGGUAUAAAACAUCUGUACAAGGCUGCAGUGUUGAACCCAUUAUUCAGAAUUGCUUUGGCUGUUUUCCAAGCAAGCAAUUCUCCUUUGGCAAAACUAGAAGAUUAUCUACAUAUCAAGGAAAAGAAACAAAAGGCAAAGGGAAGAUUCAAAGGUGAUGGUGGUGGUGGUGAGAUGGUGAUUUAUUUCUCCAGAAAUGAUUUAUGAUACAAAGACUGAUGGACCCUGAGACCGAAGCUCCCCUUCGAUUGCAUCUGUUGGCACUCCAGAACAAAGCAAGUAGUUCCACUUCAUAGGACACUGUUACUUCCCAUGCUGUGACUUGACAAAUCCAUGAUGGAUUGAUGUUCUGGGUUUAUACUGUCUGUACCACAGUGAAGACUAUAGAAGCCUGGGAACCAAAAGCCCUCCCCCCCAGUCAACUCCCUUAGGGCUGUCCAGUGAACUUCACGCAAGUACCCCGAUUUUGCCCAAGAGAGACAAUCCAGGUUACCUCAUCCCAGGCCACCACCCUAUAAAAAACUGCCCCCUUCUCCACCCAGGUGGAGACUAUUCCAUCUGCAGGUUUGUGGGUGCCCCCUUUCUCUCCCUUCCUCUGCCACCCCUUCCUUUCCCACAAUAAAGCUUUGCUGCAUUACUCAA